CCUAGAGUUGUAGGCUUUGCCUGCUAUCUCUUACCCAUGUCUUUUGAGUACCUUCGUUUCCUCGGCGGGUCCGCCCGCCGAUUGGACAAUUCAAACCCUUUGCAGUUGAAAUCAGCGUCUGAAAAAACUUAAUAGUUA
rnacentral:misc_RNA from 1 species